rnacentral:rRNA from 1 species
AACGCUGGCGGCGUGCCUAAUACAUGCAAGUCGAGCGAACGGACGAGAAGCUUGCUUCUCUGAUGUUAGCGGCGGACGGGUGAGUAACACGUGGAUAACCUACCUAUAAGACUGGGAUAACUUCGGGAAACCGGAGCUAAUACCGGAUAAUAUUUUGAACCGCAUGGUUCAAAAGUGAAAGACGGUCUUGCUGUCACUUAUAGAUGGAUCCGCGCUGCAUUAGCUAGUUGGUAAGGUAACGGCUUACCAAGGCAACGAUGCAUAGCCGACCUGAGAGGGUGAUCGGCCACACUGGAACUGAGACACGGUCCAGACUCCUACGGGAGGCAGCAGUAGGGAAUCUUCCGCAAUGGGCGAAAGCCUGACGGAGCAACGCCGCGUGAGUGAUGAAGGUCUUCGGAUCGUAAAACUCUGUUAUUAGGGAAGAACAUAUGUGUAAGUAACUGUGCACAUCUUGACGGUACCUAAUCAGAAAGCCACGGCUAACUACGUGCCAGCAGCCGCGGUAAUACGUAGGUGGCAAGCGUUAUCCGGAAUUAUUGGGCGUAAAGCGCGCGUAGGCGGUUUUUUAAGUCUGAUGUGAAAGCCCACGGCUCAACCGUGGAGGGUCAUUGGAAACUGGAAAACUUGAGUGCAGAAGAGGAAAGUGGAAUUCCAUGUGUAGCGGUGAAAUGCGCAGAGAUAUGGAGGAACACCAGUGGCGAAGGCGACUUUCUGGUCUGUAACUGACGCUGAUGUGCGAAAGCGUGGGGAUCAAACAGGAUUAGAUACCCUGGUAGUCCACGCCGUAAACGAUGAGUGCUAAGUGUUAGGGGGUUUCCGCCCCUUAGUGCUGCAGCUAACGCAUUAAGCACUCCGCCUGGGGAGU